rnacentral:rRNA from 1 species
AUACGUAGGGUGCGAGCGUUGUCCGGAAUUACUGGGCGUAAAGAGCUCGUAGGUGGUUUGUCGCGUCGUCUGUGAAAUUCCGGGGCUUAACUCCGGGCGUGCAGGCGAUACGGGCAUAACUUGAGUACUGUAGGGGAGACUGGAAUUCCUGGUGUAGCGGUGAAAUGCGCAGAUAUCAGGAGGAACACCGGUGGCGAAGGCUGUUCUCUGGGCAGUAACUGACGCUGAGGAGCGAAAGCAUGGGGAGCGAACAGGAUUAGAUGCCCUGUUAGUCCAUGCCGUAAACGGUGGGCGCUAGGUGUAGGGGUCUUCCACGACUUCUGUGCCGUAGCUAACGCAUUAAGCGCCCCGCCUGGGGAGUACGGCCGCAAGGCUAAAACUCAAAGGAAUUGACGGG